UUGAGAGGUUUUUUUUACUAGCUCAUUUGUGAGGGUAUUGUUUCCUUAUUUAUUUUUUCUUUUAUGGAAAAAGUUCCAAUAGUCUGUUGGACUUGAACCAAAAUUAUGAUCAACUAGAGAUGAUUCAAUUAAAAACAGGUCAAGUUUCAAACUGGUAGGAAAUAUAUGCUUGGUAUUUGAAGCAAAGAACCUUCUGCUUUGAGCUUUUACUCUAACUGUUGUCUUAGAUAACCUUAGCACUAUCAUCUGUUGCAAAAUCGUCAAGAGGACCAAUUGUGUCCUGGCUUCCUACUGUUGCUGCAUCAACGAGUGCAGCAACUGACGCACGCCUCCACCUCCCUGCGUCGCAUCCUCAGAGUCCAGAAUCAGCAAUUGACGCCCGCCUCCGCCUCCAUGCGUCCUCGCAGCAGCGGUGUCCUCCUUCCGAUCUCAACCUUCAGCUGAUGCUCUUUGAGCCACUGACUUGUGCCUCUAAUGGAUCUGCUAUGCCCCAAUUUCCGGAUGACUGCCUGUUUCAAAAUUGUAUAUGGGACGGACCACCACCGUUGUUUCAAAGAGUGACAUUUUUCUAAUUUUCUACGUGCCUCUAUAUUUAUAGUCAUUUUUUCUAAAUAUAAUCUCUAGAUUUGUACACUAUCUGUCACGUAUUUGUGAUUCAAAUCUGAAGGUUACAAGAAAAAUUCAAACAUAGUUAACACACUUAUAUAUCUAAGAAUAAUCUGUUGACAUUCACUUAAAUGGAUGCAAAUUUGUUGAAAUUCAAAUUUUAACGUUAUGAAAAGGAUUAAAAAUAAUUAUCACAUUAGUGUGUAUAAAUAUGCAUAGACAUACAAAUUCAAUUCACUUUCAAUCCACAUUUGCAUCUUUCUCUUUGUUUGUUGUUGUACUGCCAUGAAUAACAGUGAAUCUGCUGUGUUUGUCCAGAGAUACAUUUGUCCCCAAUUUGAAUAUGGCCUCCGUAGAUUAAGGAGCAAUAUAAUGAGGUUAAAGAGGGAUACAUUUGUCCCCAAUUCAAAUAUGGCCUUCAUAAAUUAAGGAGCAAUAUAGUGAGGUUAAAGAGACGUAUGAAGAUGGUUGCCAAGAAACCGGAUUCAGAAAUAGCUCAUGUGGUUGAGAUGCUUCGAUGCCUUGGAUCCAAUGUCACCACAACAAAUAUCAUCUGAAGAAGAAGAAGAACCAUUGGUGUUCAAAAAGAAAACAAAGGCAGCAUCGACAAAGCUGAGGCAAUGUGCAUCAUUUGAUCAGGAAGAAAUCAACGACACAUAUGUCAUUACUUCCUCUGAUGAAGAACAAAUUUUGAUUCAAACCUUAAGGACAAACACAUCUAAGAGAACCAAAGUUAGCAAUACAAACACCACGAGGAAGCCAAAAAGAAUAACAAGACAAAAAAAUAAAAAGAGCAAUUUCAUGCAUAGCUUAUAUUUUAUUUCCUACAAUUUAUAUCAUGUAUUUGACUAUUUUAUUUCUAAAUCAAAAGUAUA